AUUGAACGCUGGCGGCAGGCCUAACACAUGCAAGUCGAGCGGUUGAGGUAGCUUGCUACCGAUACAGCGGCGGACGGGUGAGUAAUACAUGGGAAUCUGCCUGGUAGUGGGGGACAACGUUUCGAAAGGAACACUAAUACCGCAUACGCCCUACGGGGGCAAGGGGGGGAUCUUCGGACCUCUCGCUAUCAGAUGAGCCCAUGUCAGAUUAGCUUGUUGGUGAGGUAAAGGCGCACAAAGGCGACGAUCUGUAACUGGUCUGAGAGGAUGAUGAGUAACACUGGAACUGAGACACGUGCCAUACUCCUACGGGAGGCAGCAGUGGGGAAGAUUGGACAAUGGGCGCAAGCCUGAUCCAGCCAUGCCGCGUGUGUGAAGAAGGCCUUAGGGUUGUAAAGCACUUUCAGUGGGGAGAAAGGCCUUUUACUUAAUACGUAAGAGGAUUGAUGUUACCCACAGAAGAAGCACCGGCUAACUCCGUGCCAGCAGCCGCAGUAA
rnacentral:rRNA from 1 species